rnacentral:misc_RNA from 1 species
AAGUCGUAACAAGGUCUCCGUAGGUGAACCUGCGGAGGGAUCAUUACCGAGUGAGGGCCUCCGGGCUCGACCUCCAACCCUCUGUCGUUACAAACUAUGUUGCCUCGGGGGCGACCCGGCCUCCGUGUCGGAGCCCCACGCGGACCUACCAAACUCUGCGUCUUUGCGUCCGAGUCAAAGUAAAUCAAUCAAA